AUUGAACGCUGGCGGAAUGCUUUACACAUGCAAGUCGAACGGCAGCACGGGGGCAACCCUGGUGGCGAGUGGCGAACGGGUGAGUAAUACAUCGGAACGUGCCCAGUCGUGGGGGAUAACGUAGCGAAAGUUACGCUAAUACCGCAUACGAUCUACGGAUGAAAGCGGGGGAUCGCAAGACCUCGCGCGAUUGGAGCGGCCGAUGUCAGAUUAGGUAGUUGGUGGGGUAAAGGCUCACCAAGCCGACGAUCUGUAGCUGGUCCGAGAGGACGACCAGCCACACUGGGACUGAGACACGGCCCAGACUCCUACGGGAGGCAGCAGUGGGGAAUUUUGGACAAUGGACGAAAGUCUGAUCCAGCCAUUCCGCGUGCAGGACAAAGGCCUUCGGGUUGUAAACUGCUUUUGUACGGAACGAAAAAACCUUGGCUAAUACCCAGGGUCCAUGACGGUACCGUAAGAAUAAGCACCGGCUAACUACGUGCC
rnacentral:rRNA from 1 species